AACGAACGCUGGCGGCAUGCCUAACACAUGCAAGUCGAACGAUACCUUCGGGUCUAGUGGCGCACGGGUGCGUAACGCGUGGGAACCUGCCCUUAGGUUCGGAAUAACUCCCCGAAAGGGGUGCUAAUACCGGAUAAUGUCUUCGGACCAAAGAUUUAUCGCCUUUGGAUGGGCCCGCGUUGGAUUAGCUAGUUGGUAGGGUAAAAGCCUACCAAGGCGACGAUCCAUAGCUGGUCUGAGAGGAUGAUCAGACACACUGGGACUGAGACACGGCCCAGACUCCUACGGGAGGCAGCAGUGGGGAAUAUUGGACAAUGGGCGAAAGCCUGAUCCAGCAAUGCCGCGUGAGGGAUGAAGGCCUUAGGGUUGUAAAGCUCUUUUACCCGGGAUGAUAAUGACAGUACCGGGAGAAUAAGCUCCGGCUAACUCCGUG
rnacentral:rRNA from 1 species